rnacentral:misc_RNA from 1 species
UCAUAAACCGUGGCUCAGUUCAGAUCGUAGGCUGCAACUCGCCUACGUGAAGGAGGAAUCGCUAGUAAUCGCAGGUCAGCAUACUGCGGUGAAUACGUUCCCGGGCCUUGUACACACCGCCCGUCACACCAUGGAAGUUGGCCACGCCCGAAGCCGUUACUCCAACCCUUGUGGAGGAGGACGUCGAAGGUGGGGCUGAUGACUGGGGUGAAGUCGUAACAAGGUAGCCGUACCGGAAGGUGCGGCUGGAUCACCUCCUAACAGGGAGACAACACAAUGAUUUUGAUGCCUGAGUACUUUUAUUCUUAGGCCGAAAUCCUGUCACCUUAGGUCGAUCGGUACCUCAGCAUUAAGAGCAGUAAUUGAUGAGUAAUCAUCAAGAGACUGAAGGAGAUGUUCAGUUCCUAAACUUUGUCUAGGUCACACCCCACAAGGGUUGAGUCUUCCUGGGCCAUUAGCUCAGGUGGUUAGAGCGCACCCCUGAUAAGGGUGAGGUCCCUGGUUCAAGUCCAGGAUGGCCCAUUCGGUGUUGGGGGUUUAGCUCAGUUGGUAGAGCGCCUGCUUUGCAAGCAGGAUGUCAGGAGUUCGAGUCUCCUAACCUCCACUGACCGAACUUAAUCUCCAUCUUCUGAACAGUGGAAGGUGAACUCGUAGGUGUGUGAUUUAGAUGUGUCCGCUGGCAUGAACUCAGCUUCCUGUCAUUCCAAAUGAUGAGUGUUUGCUCUGAAUUUGGUUGAUAAGAUGCUGGGC